AAGAAGAAGAAGACGAGGAAGAGAAGAUAGAAAAAGAAAACAAGAAGUUCAGUUAGUUUUAGUGCUUUUUUCAUUUUCUUUCUCUUCUCUUCUCUUCUCUCUU
rnacentral:ribozyme from 1 species